rnacentral:rRNA from 1 species
UACGGAGGGUGCAAGCGUUGUCCGGAAUUACUGGGCGUAAAGAGCUCGUAGGUGGUUUGUCGCGUUGUUCGUGAAAACUCACAGCUCAACUGUGGGCGUGCGGGCGAUACGGGCAGACUGGAGUACUGCAGGGGAGACUGGAAUUCCUGGUGUAGCGGUGGAAUGCGCAGAUAUCAGGAGGAACACCGGUGGCGAAGGCGGGUCUCUGGGCCUUACCUGACGCUGAGGAGCGAAAGCGUGGGUAGCGAACAGG